GGGGAAUCUUGCGCAAUGCGCGAAAGCGUGACGCAGCAACGCCGCGUGCGGGAAGACGGCCUUCGGGUUGUAAACCGCUUUCAGUUGGGACGAAGGUUCUGCGGUUAAUACCCGUAUGGACUGACGGUACCUUCAGAAGAAGCCCCGGCUAACUACGUGCCAGCAGCCGCGGUAAUACGUAGGGGGCAAGCGUUGUCCGGAAUCAUUGGGCGUAAAGCGCGUGUAGGCGGCUGAGCAAGUCCGCUCUGAAAGCCCGAGGCUCAACCUCGGGAGGCGAGUGGAUACUGCUCAGCUCGAGUCCGGAAGAGGAGUGUGGAAUUCCUGGUGUAGCGGUGAAAUGCGCAGAUAUCAGGAGGAACACCAAUUGCGAAGGCAGCACUCUGGGACGUGACUGACGCUGAGACGCGAAAGCGUGGGGAGCAAAC
rnacentral:rRNA from 1 species